rnacentral:rRNA from 1 species
UGAUGACGGUACCGUUUGUAAGCUCCGGCUAACUCCGUGCCAGCAGCCGCGGUAAUACGGGGGGAGCAAGCGUUGUUCGGAUUUACUGGGCGUAAAGGGCGCGUAGGCGGCCAGCNCAAGUCAGUUGUGAAAUCUCCGNGCUUAACUCGGAAAGGUCAACUGAUACUGCGCGGCUAGAGUGCGGAAGGGGCAACUGGAAUUCUUGGUGUAGCGGUGAAAUGCGUAGAUAUCAAGAGGAACACCUGCGGCGAAGGCGGGUUGCUGGGCCGACACUGACGCUGAGGCGCGAAAGCNAGGGGAGCGAACGGGAUUAGAUACCCCGGUAGUCCUNGCCUUAAACGAUGAAUGCUUGGUGUCUGGGGUU